AGCAGUCGCCGCGGGAAUACGUAGGGGGCGAGCGUUGUCCGAGUUACUGGGCGUAAAGCGCGCGUAGGCGGCUUCUUAAGUCUGAGGUGAAAGGUUCAACGCUUAACGUGAACAGUGCCUUGGAUACUGGGGAGCUUGAGUAUGGGAGAGGGCAGUGGAAUGGCUGGUGUAGCGGUGAAAUGCGUAGAUAUCAGUCGGAACACCCAUGGCGAAGGCAGCUGCCUGGCCUAAUACUGACGCUGAGGUGCGAAAGCGUGGGGAGCGAACGGGAUUAGAUACCCCGGUAGUCCCUGUCUCUUAUAC
rnacentral:rRNA from 1 species